rnacentral:rRNA from 1 species
AUUNCUGGGCGUAAAGGGCGUGUAGGCGGUUUUUUAAGUCAGAUGUGAAAGUUCGGGGCUCAACCCCGGAAUUGCAUUUGAAACUGGAGAACUUGAGUACUGGAGAGGUAAGUGGAAUUCCUAGUGUAGCGGUGAAAUGCGUAGAUAUUAGGAGGAACACCAGUGGCGAAGGCGACUUACUGGACAGAUACUGACGCUGAGGCGCGAAAGCGUGGGGAGCGAACAGGAUUAGAUACCCUGGUAGUCCACGCCGUAAACGAUGAGUGCUAGGUGUUGGGGCAACUCAGUGCCGUAGUUAACACAAUAAGCACUCCGCCUGGGGAGUACGAUCGCAAGAUUGAAACUCAAAGGAAUUGACGGGGGCCCGCACAAGCAGCGGAGCAUGUGGUUUAAUUCGAAGCAACGCGAAGAACCUUACCAGGUCUUGACAUUUCCUGAUUGAUCCAGAGAUGGGUAGUUCCCUUCGGGGACAGGAGGACAGGUGGUGCAUGGUUGUCGUCAGCUCGUGUCGUGAGAUGUUGGGUUAAGUCCCGCAACGAGCGCAACCCUUGUAUUUAGUUGCCAGCAGGUUAAGCUGGGCACUCUAGAUAGACUGCCGUAGAUAAUACGGAGGAAGGUGGGGAUGACGUCAAAUCAUCAUGCCCCUUAUGACCUGGGCUACACACGUGCUACAAUGGUCUGAACAGAGGGCAGCGAAACAGCGAUGUGGAGCCNAUCUCAAAAAACAGAUCUCCAGUUCGGAUUGCAGGCUGCAACUCGCCUGCAUGAAGUCGGAGUUGCUAGUAAUCGCGGAUCANAAUGCCGCGGUGAAUGCGUUNCCGGGCCUUGUACACACCGCCCGUCAC